rfam:Roseibacterium elongatum DSM 19469, complete genome.
GCGGAGGGCCGGAUGGCCGCGGGGUGGCAACACCGCGAGGAAAGUCCGGACUCCCUGAAGCAACGGUGCCGGGUAACACCCGGGCGGAGCGAUCCGACGGAAAGCGCCACAGAAAUGAGACUACCCCGGUCCGCCGGGGAAAAGGUGAAACGGUGGGGUAAGAGCCCACCGCGCCGCUGGCAACAGGGGCGGCACGGCAAGCCCCACCGGGAGCAAUGCCGAAUAGGGAUCGCAUCACGGGGCGCUUCACCCCCGCGAUCCGGGUUGGCAGCCCGAGCGUAUCGGCAACGGUGCGCCUAGAGGAAUGGUCAUCCAGAGGGGGCGACCCCUUGGACAGAAUCCGGCUUACAGGCCCUCCGCGCAG